UGGAGGCAGCAGUAAGGAAUAUUGGACAAUGGGCGAAAGCCUGAUCCAGCCAUGCCGCGUGUGUGAUGAAGGCCCUAGGGUUGUAAAGCACUUUCGUUGGGGAAGAUAAUGACUGUACCCAAAGAAGAAGCACCGGCUAACUUCGUGCCAGCAGCCGCGGUAAUACGAAGGGUGCAAGCGUUGUUCGGAAUCACUGGGCGUAAAGAAUGCGUAGGCGGCUUAACAAGUCGGGAGUGAAAUCCCAGGGCUCAACCCUGGAACUGCUCUCGAAACUGUUCUGCUAGAGUCCCGGAGGGGUUAGCGGAAUUCCGAGUGUAGAGGUGAAAUUCGCAGAUAUUCGGAGGAACACCAGUGGCGAAGGCGGCUAACUGGACGGGAACUGACGCUGAGGCAUGAAAGUGUGGGGAUCAAACAGGAUUAGAUACCCUGGUAGUCCG
rnacentral:rRNA from 1 species